rnacentral:tRNA from 1 species
GGAUUGUGGCUCAGAGGUAGAGCGCUUGCCUAGCAUGCAUGAGGCAGUGGGUUCGAUCCUCGCACCA